rnacentral:rRNA from 1 species
UACGUAGGGUGCGAGCGUUAAUCGGAUUUAUUGGGCGUAAAGAGCGUGUAGGCGGCUUGGUAGGUCCGCUGUGAAAACUCGAGGCUCAACCUCGAGACGCCGGUGGAAACCAUCAGGCUAGAGUCCGGAAGAGGAGAGUGGAAUUCCUGGUGUAGCGGUGAAAUGCGCAGAUAUCAGGAAGAACACCCGUGGCUAAGGCGGCUCUCUAGUACGGUACUGACGCUGAGACGCGAAAGCGUGGGGAGCGAACAGG